AGGCUGGCCGCCAGAGGCACUAAGGCGGCCGCCUAGUUCCAGCAGCUAAGCCGGCCUGGGGUUGCCUAGUUACUGCCCAGAGAACAAGGAAGAGGUUCUAAAUGCAGGCAGACGCUCUGGCAAUCUUCGUCAAACUCUGUGGUGGCGUUGGCGUCCUAGAGCUCCGGAGUUGCUUACCCUUCCUGUAAGGGCAAUCGGACCCUUUCCGGUGAGGGAACCUCUCUCCAGACAUGAUCAAGAGAAACUGGCGAGGGACUGACAUGAUCUAGCUUACCUUGGGUCACCGAACGGAUUUGGUUUGUUUGUUCUUUCUCUACCCCAAGAAAAAGUCGCUAGCUACUGCAAGGUUUUGUUUUCAAACAAGGAACAGCAUGCCAAAAGAAAGUGCUGCGCCUACCUGAUGAGCAAGGGAAUAAUAUUCUUCUAGAAAACUUCUUGUAGUAGUAUCAAGUCUCCCCUUGAUUCUGAUAAACAUUGCGCGCGAAGUUUACACUUUAAGGAGGAGGCCGUUUCCCCCUUCUGAAAAGGCAUGUGACAUAAUUAUCCCAGCGAUCACUAAAACUGUAAAUUUGGAUGCAAUUAAGAGAGAAAACUCCACACAUUUAUGGAAAUUUAAGAUGGGGCUCCCUGAUUCUGUCAAAAUAGCAAAAACACAGAAG
rnacentral:lncRNA from 1 species